rnacentral:rRNA from 1 species
GUUGAUAAGGUUAAGUGAAUAAGGGCGCACGGUGGAUGCCUUGGCACUAGGAGCCGAUGAAGGACGGGACUAACACCGAUAUGCUUUGGGGAGCUGUAC